CAGUGCGAGAGAAGGUGAGUGUAAUAGGGUGAAUAUGGCAGAGCAAUGGGUGGUGAGUAUGGCAUGGGUGAGUGACAGGAUUGGUGGAGUUUUUUGUGAGUGCGGCAGGGUGAAGGGGGGUGACAGUGUGUGUGUAGUGGGGUGACAGUUACACAGACACACCCAUGCAUACACAGACACACAUGCAGAUAUACAAACACACACUGACAUACAUGCAGAUACACACCAUAUAACACACAGUGCCAUUUUAACAGCAAUAUAGGCCCCCGGGCAAAGCGGUGCACUACAC